AACGAACGCUGGCGGCAUGCCUAACACAUGCAAGUCGAACGAGACCUUCGGGUCUAGUGGCGCACGGGUGCGUAACGCGUGGGAAUCUGCCCUUGGGUUCGGAAUAACAGUUGGAAACGACUGCUAAUACCGGAUGAUGACGUAAGUCCAAAGAUUUAUCGCCCAGGGAUGAGCCCGCGUAGGAUUAGCUAGUUGGUGGGGUAAAGGCCUACCAAGGCGACGAUCCUUAGCUGGUCUGAGAGGAUGAUCAGCCACACUGGGACUGAGACACGGCCCAGACUCCUACGGGAGGCAGCAGUGGGGAAUAUUGGACAAUGGGCGAAAGUCUGAUCCAGCAAUGCCGCGUGAGUGAUGAAGGCCUUAGGGUUGUAAAGCUCUUUUACCCGGGAUGAUAAUGACAGUACCGGGAGAAUAAGCCCCGGCUAACUCCGUG
rnacentral:rRNA from 1 species